rnacentral:tRNA from 2 species
AGGCUUGUAGCUCAGGUGGUUAGAGCGCACCCCUGAUAAGGGUGAGGUCGCGUGGUUCAAGUCCACUCAGGCCUACCA